AUGGGUACCAAACAGCAGCUCCAGGAUCUGUUCAGAGCAUUUUGUCAAUAAUGCCAAAAGCAACAUCGCAGCCCAUCCUGCGUACCUCCCCACACUCUUUCCAGUAGUGUACAAGAGGAGUUCAGUGAUUCCGCAGGACCAAGCGUCAAGGUUUGACAGAUGGCAUCACAGAGUAGCAAGCAGACAAGCAUCGAGUCUGGGGGGUCCCGCUUCAUCUUUGACUGGAAUCCCAAGCACAAGCAGGGAACGAACUAGCAGCGGCAGCCGAGGAAGAUCAGACUGAUGACCCGGAGAUUAGUGCAACAGAUGGGAUCCUCCAGGACCAAGCAUCAGGGCUUGACAGCCCAGGCCCAGCUUGGCAUCAAAACU